rnacentral:rRNA from 1 species
CCUACGGGUGGCUGCAGUGGGGAAUAUUGGACAAUGGGGGCAACCCUGAUCCAGCCAUGCCGCGUGUGUGAAGAAGGCCCUCGGGUUGUAAAGCACUUUCAGUGAGGAAGAACGCCUGGUGGUUAAUACCCAUCAGGAAAGACAUCACUCACAGAAGAAGCACCGGCUAACUCCGUGCCAGCAGCCGCGGUAAUACGGAGGGUGCGAGCGUUAAUCGGAAUUACUGGGCGUAAAGCGCGCGUAGGUGGCUUGAUAAGCCGGUUGUGAAAGCCCCGGGCUCAACCUGGGAACGGCAUCCGGAACUGUCAAGCUAGAGUGCAGGAGAGGAAGGUAGAAUUCCCGGUGUAGCGGUGAAAUGCGUAGAGAUCGGGAGGAAUACCAGUGGCGAAGGCGGCCUUCUGGACUGACACUGACACUGAGGUGCGAAAGCGUGGGUAGCAAACAGGAUUAGAAUACCCUAGUAGUC